CGCAUCUGUGCAUGCAGCAUAUCAAUAAGCGGAGGAAAAGAAACUAACAAGGAUUCCCUUAGUAACGGCGAGUGAAGCGGGAAGAGCUCAAAUUUGAAAUCUUCAAGGUUUUACCUUGACGAAUUGUAGUUUAAAGAAGUGUUUUCUGUUGAAGUUUUGGUAAAAGUUCUUUGGAAUAGGACAUCAUAGAGGGUGAGAAUCCCGUAUUUGACCAGUUAUUUUCAGCUGUGUGAUACACUUUCAAAGAGUCGGAUUGUUUGGGAAUGCAGUCCAAAAUGGGUGGUAAAUUUCAUCUAAAGCUAAAUAUUGGCGAGAGACCGAUAGCGAACAAGUACCGUGAGGGAAAGAUGAAAAGAACUUUGAAAAGAGAGUUAAACAGUACGUGAAAUUGUCAAAAGGGAAGCGUUUGACACCAGUGUUGUUUUCUCGAAAAUCAAUUAAAAAGAGUUAGAUUUUGUUGUGUAUUGACCUUAACAGCUUGCAUUUCAAUUUUCUUGCUUUUUUUAAUGCACUUUUCGUUUAACAAGUCAACAUCAGUUUCUUUUGUUGUAAAAAGGUCAUUGGAAGGUGGCUUUCUUUUCGGAGAAAGUGUUUAUAGCCUUUGACUCCUGCAAUCGGAGAGACUGAGGUCUGCAGCGUAGAUCCUUCGGGGUUAGAUACAUUUGUGCUAAGUUAUAGCUUUUUAUAGACAACUUGUUGACUAUGAUUAGUCUUGUAGCUUACUCGCUUAUGCUAUUUUACCUACGCUUAGGAUGUUGAUCUGUAGUGCGUGCGC
rnacentral:rRNA from 1 species